UGCUCCUCCGAUCUGCCUGGAUUCUCCCGUCGAGAGUCAUUUUUAAAGUAUUACCAAAACUCUUCCGACUGAAUAUGAUAAAGCCUAUAAAUAACUCGCUACUAUCAUUUCUUCAUUAUAAAUUAAGAUUUUCUUUGAACUUGAUGCACAAAUAGAUAGAAUA